UUUUACGACCAUAUCACGUUGAAAGCAACUGUUCUCGUCCGAUCAGCGAAGUUAAGCAACGUCGAGCCUAGUGAGUACUUAGAUGGGUGACCAUUUGGGAAACCUAGGUGCUGUAAGUG
rnacentral:rRNA from 1 species